GAGGGUAUAGCUCAGUGGUAGAGUGUGUGUUUAGCAUGCACGAGGACCUGGGUUCAAUCCCCAGUACCUCCA
rnacentral:tRNA from 1 species